GGGGGUGUAGCUCAGCUGGGAGAGCAAUGCGUUUGCAACGCAUAGGUCGGCGGUUCGACUCCGCUCACCUCCA
rnacentral:tRNA from 1 species